UAAUACGACAGAAUUAUAAGUCUAAGGGGAAUUGAGAAGGACAAUUUGCUUAGCCUCUUCUUCAGCUUCUAUAUUAAGAGAAUUAUUGCUUAUGUACAGCAGUAUCACCCAAAUAUUCUUAUAGAGUCAUGUGUUGUAAAGGACGAAAAUCUGCGUGCUUUGGUAAUUUUAUCUGAAAUUCUUCCAAUCGCGAAUUUCAAAAGUGGAAAGAGACAAAAAAUGUCUGAAAAAGAAAAGGAAGGGAUAAACGUCGAGGCGUAAAUGAACGAGUACCGAAAGCAGAAAAAAACAAACGUUCAACCUCAUAUUAUGUGCGUGAAAGGUCAAGGAAAAAAAUUUUUUUUUAUACUAGGAGAUGGAUUUCUAAUCACUCCUUCAAAGAAAGCCAGCCCUCUUGAAACGUUCGACCUUCUUUUCAAAAUACACCAUAUAUUGAAUGUCCAUUUUGCUGAAUCUUUGACAUACUUUUAUAAUUUCUUGGAAUAUUUUUUGUAUAAGAAGAUCGGAGCUGUAGAUGUAAAAAGUUCAGUUUCAUCGCUUCAAGUAUCUUUGAAAAAUAUCAGUCUCAUUCCGUUAAAUCAACAGCUCGAAAACUAUGAAGAAAUGAACAUUGAGGACGAAGAAAAUGAGGUCUAAUUUCAUAAGUUUUGCAAUAUUUUCUGAUUUAAAAGGAGUUUUUACACGAUAAGGAAGUUGUCGGUCGGAUAUUUAUUAUUUUUAAC